UUGCCCUAGUAACGGCGAGUGAAGCGGCAACAGCUCAAAUUUGAAAUCUGGCCCCAGGCCCGCGUUGUAAUUUGCAGAGGAUGCUUUUGGCGACGCGCCUUCCGAGUUCCCUGGAACGGGACGCCAUAGAGGGUGAGAGCCCCGUACGGUCGUGCGCCUAGCCUCUGUAAAGCUCCUUCGACGAGUCGAGUAGUUUGGGAAUGCUGCUCUAAAUGGGAGGUAUACGUCUUCUAAAGCUAAAUACCGGCCAGAGACCGAUAGCGCACAAGUAGAGUGAUCGAAAGAUGAAAAGCACUUUGAAAAGAGGGUUAAAUAGUACGUGAAAUUGCUGAAAGGGAAGCGCUCAUGACCAGACUUGGGCCGGUGAAUCAUCCAGCGUUCUCGCUGGUGCACUUUGCCGGUCCAGGCCAGCAUCAGUUCGCGCCGGGGGAUAAAGGCUUCGGGAAUGUGGCUCCUCCGGGAGUGUUAUAGCCCGUUGCGUAAUACCCUGGGGUGGACUGAGGUACGCGCUCCGCAAGGAUGCUGGCGUAAUGGUCAUCAGCGACCCGUCUUGAAACACGGACCAAGGAGUCGUCUUCGUAUGCGAGUGUUCGGGUGUCAAACCCUUACGCGUAAUGAAAGUGAACGUAGGAGAGAGCUUCGGCGCAUCUCCGACCGAUCCUGAUGUUCUCGGAUGGAUUUGAGUAAGAGCAUACGGGGCCGGACCCGAAAGAAGGUGAACUAUGCCUGUAUAGGGUGAAGCCAGAGGAAACUCUGGUGGAGGCUCGCAGCGGUUCUGACGUGCAAAUCGAUCGUCAAAUAUGGGCAUGGGGGGCGAAAGACUAAUCGAACCUUCUAGUAGCUGGUUUCCGCCGAA
rnacentral:rRNA from 1 species